ACCAAAUCUAAAUAAAAAAUAACAAGAUGUCACCAUCACACCACAAAGUUGCAAUAAGAAAAAGCUAGCAGCUUCAAUAGCACAAUAAGGUAGAUAUUUAAGAGGCAAGAAAAAAAAUUAAAAGUAAAAUUAACAUUUUCUUCCUGAGACUUUGUAAGGAAUAAAAACCUCAAAAUUCUGGAGUUUGCACAAAAAUUUCUCCCAAAAAUCAAGAAUUCAAAAUUAAAAUUUAUAAUGAAAUUAGGUAGCUCAUUAGAGCAAUAUAAUCAAUCAUACACAACCACUUCAAACUGUGUAGAUCUAAAUCAAAUUCCAUCCCAUGAAAAAGAAACACAAUCUAAUCACUAUAGAGUCUGCACCCUCCAAAUUGCAAAAAUCAAACAUAUCCUUGAGAAAAGGUCAGCAUUCAAUUGACUGAACAACCUCAAUA
rnacentral:misc_RNA from 1 species